GAUGAACGCUGGCGGCGUGCCUAACACAUGCAAGUCGAGCGAUUCUCUUCGGAGAAGAGCGGCGGACGGGUGAGUAACGCGUGGGUAACCUGCCCUGUACACACGGAUAACAUACCGAAAGGUAUGCUAAUACGAGAUAAUAUACUUUUAUCGCAUGGUAGAAGUAUCAAAGCUUUUGCGGUACAGGAUGGAUCCGCGUCUGAUUAGCUAGUUGGUAAGGUAACGGCUUACCAAGGCGACGAUCAGUAGCCGACCUGAGAGGGUGAUCGGCCACAUUGGAACUGAGACACGGUCCAAACUCCUACGGGAGGCAGCAGUGGGGAAUAUUGCACAAUGGGCGAAAGCCUGAUGCAGCAACGCCGCGUGAGCGAUGAAGGCCUCGGUCGUAAGCUCUGUCCUCAGGAAGAUAAUGACGGUACUUGAGGAGGAAGCCCCGGCGUAACUACGUG
rnacentral:rRNA from 1 species